CCCCUAGACGUUCUGGGCUGCACGCGCGCUACAAUAAUACGCACAGCGAGUAUCACCGAGCUCGAAAGGGCAAGGUAAACAAUAGAAAAGGUACUGUAAUGGUUAUAGAUCCUUGUAAUUAUUGAUCUUCAACGAGGAAUUCCUAGUAAGUAUGUGUCAUCAUCACGCACUGAUUACGUCCCUGCCCUUUGUACGCACCGCCCGUCGCUCCUACCGAUUGGGUGAGCCGAUGAAACUCUCGGAUGUAGGCUAUUCAUAGCCCGCAGAAGAGAUUUGAAUCGUAGCGCUUAGAGGAAGGAGAAGUCGUAACA
rnacentral:rRNA from 1 species